UCCACGCCCAGAGCUCUGUGCCGGCAGCCAGGCCCCACCCAGACAUCCCUCACAAAUUCCUCUGGCCGCACACACGCUGGCACCCACGUCCCUGGCACGCCCAGUCUCAGCCCCAGGCCAGCUCAGCUGGUCACUAAUGAGCACCCCGGGGAAACAAAGACCGCAGGAGCUCCGUGUGAGGGGACAAAGAUAGGAACUGAUGCAUUUUCUGUUCUAUUGUGCGAAGAUGGGGUGAGGAAGAGGAGCCUCCGUCUGGGUUUUCUGCAUUGGAUCUGGGUGCUUCAGCAGCCAGGGACGGAAACUGUUCGCAAAAGAAAAUUGCAGGUGUGGACGUUUGGAGCAGCAGUCGGGACGUCUCUUGGGACACCAGCUUCGGAUCGAGUUUCUUGCACAUGCGCGCCCUGGGAAGGCAGCAGGUGACGGCUCACAUACUUGGGUCCCUGCCGGUCACAUGGGAGACCUGGACUGAGCUCCUGGCUUUGGGCCUGGUCCCGGCAUGGCUGCCGGGGAGUGAGCUAAUGUGUUUGGAUGGAAGAUUCUCUGCCUGCCUGUCCCCUUCUCUCUGUCUGCCUUUCAGAUACAAUGAAAACAAACACAUUUUGGAGAAAUGAAAAUUGCAUCUUUGAUGAGUACGUGCACACUUUUCUCUCUGUCAUUAUUCCCCAACCAAUACAAUGUAACAACUUCUUAUGUGAUAUUAGGCGCUGUAUAAGUGAUCAUGGGAUCAUAGGAGGGAGCCAGACCAGGGCUGUGACCCCGGAGGUUACGCCACUGCCUGCAACAUCGGCAUCCCACAUGGACGCCAGUUCGAGUCCCCGCUGCUCCACUUCCAUUCCAGCUCCCUGCUAAUGCACCUGGGAAAGCAGUGAAGGAUGACCCAAGUGCUUGGGUCCCUCACCCAUGUGGGAGAACCAGAUGAAGCUCCUGGCUCCUGGCUUCAGCCUGGCCCAGCCCUGACCAUUGCAGCCAUUUGGGGGGUGAA